GAAUCUUCGGGCUUAGCGGCGGUACGGGUGAGUAACGCGUGGGAACGUACCCAUUCCUGCGGAAAUAGGCCCUGGAAACGGGGUUUAAUACCGCAUACGCCCUUCGGGGGAAAGAAUUUCGGGGAUGGAUCGGCCCGCGUUGGAUUAGGUAGUUGGUGGGGUAAUGGCCUACCAAGCCGACGAUCCAUAGCUGGUUUUAAGGAUGAUCAGCCACACUGGGACUGAGACACGGCCCAACUC
rnacentral:rRNA from 1 species